CCCCACAUGUUUUAAUGUUAUUAUUCAUUGAUUUAAUUCAUAAUUGGUGAUGUUGGUGUUGAAAUCAUGCUAUUACUACAAGUUUUAAACUAUUCUCAUGCUUAGUUUGAACUAUGAAUAUCAAGUGUUUGAUGAAAUGACUACAAGAAUGAAUUUUUGAAUAAAUGCUUUCAUAUUAUGUCCCCAAGGUUUUAGUACUAUUUUGAUAUUAUUGGUAUCGAGUCUUGGGGGCUAUGAAUACCCAAAAACUUAGUUGUUUACUUAGUCUCAAUAUCUUCAGAAUAGUCUCAGAAUAUGUUAUGAGCAUUACCAGUUUAGUCAGUCAUCAUAAUUUGUUAAACUCAUAAUAGUUUAGUAUUCUGAGUCAGUUUAGUUGGGAGUAAAAUUUAGCAGCGAUCGAACCUAGGGAUGAGGGCUCACCUGCUAAUUGAGAGUGUGACCUUUAUCAGCAGUCCUUGCAUUCCAGAACUACGUAGCCAGCGUAGGUUGAGAUGUUAACCUGCCAAUUGAGGGUUGAUCUCACACGGGUAACUGCCAAAUGAGGGUUCUUUAGUCCUUUGGGACAACACUUUAGUGGAUCCACACAGCUAGUGUUAGUACCCAUGGCACGGUACUGACACCCUUCCAACUGGGGUCACAGGUUGGACCCCAAAUGUACUCAUUGGGGCAUGUCGAUUUAAUGAUAUCUCCCAUAAUCUCAGUCCAGUAAUCAGUUCAGUAAUUUAGUUUCAGUUUUCCUGACCAUAGAAUACAAAUAUCAGUUAUUCGAUUAUCAGACUAGUAUUUUAGUUUACAGAUUAUAUGCAGAACAUGUUUUAUGCUUGAUCAUGCAUCCUCAGUAUUUACAGUUUUCAUGUAUUUUAUUCAGUACUUCAUGCUAUUCACUCAGUCAAUUAGUACCCAUUCACAUAAACUAUGCAUAUCAGCCUACCUUAUUUAGCAUACCAGUACAUUCAAAGUACUGAUUGCAUACUCUUUUCUUUCGCUAUGAUGUAUCAUAUCAUUAGUUCUGACGCUCAGUUCUCGGAUCGUACAUAGACCUUCCAGAUUAUCAACCAUAGCAGUGGUGAGUCCUCAUAUUUUGAGGAUAGACUAUAUUUAUUUUCAUGCUUUCAGUUCAGGCCUCAUCGGUUAGUAACACCUUGAAGGGUUUUCGGGCCAACAAGCCUCUCUCAUUUUUCUUUCUCAUGUGUCUGUAAAGGUUUUCACUAAUGAGACUCUCUUAUUUUUAUUUCUCUCAAUCUUGGUUCCUGUGAGGAUUUUCGUCAAUGAGACUCUUUCAUUUUCAUUUCUCUCAUCUCACCAUCAUCUUGUGGUGUUCAUGAGAAUUUUCACCAAUAACACUCCAUGAGCCUUUCUCAUUUUCAUUUCUCUUAACUUACAAUCGUAUUACGGUGUCUGUGAGGCUUUUCACCAAUAAAAAUCUCUCAUUUUAUCUCUCUCAACUUAUGAUCGCCUUACGGUGCCCGUGAGGGUUUUCACCAAUAAGAUUCUCUUAUUUUAAUUCUCUCCUGAUUCCUUAUGACGAGGAAGGCAAGUAGUUCCCAAAAUGCAUCAUUAUAAAAUGCAUCAUCAUAAAAUACAUCAUCAUAUGCAUUGCAUACUUGGCCUUAUCAUUCUCAAAGAUUGAUCUGAAGGUCUCUCUUUGAUUGUAACUUAGUAGUUGGAUAGAGUUAGAAAGAAAGGAUGGCAUAAGGUCCAAACUACACUUGAAGUGGGGUGGGACUUAUAACUUUUUGAAUCGACUCAAACAACAAAAAUUAACUCAUGCCCUAGUUUUUUUUUAUUGGAUAAUUCUGAAUUGUUUAUUUGGUUGGACAGAGCCAGAGUAGGAAAGCAUACGUAUCUUACCCCCGAGAGAGGAGAAUCAGGUCACUCGUAGUUCGGACAACUUAUUCUUUUGCUUAAUUGUGAUUUCUCUCUUUUUUAUCAUUGACUCUUUUCUCUUGGGAACUUUUUCUGAUUCUAUUUUUCUUCACAUUCUUCUUUUUCUUUCUUUUUGGACAUGUUUUUUUUUUUUGAAAUUUUUCUGACUCUAUUUUUUCGCUCGACACUUUUCUUUUGAGCUUUGCUGACACUAUCUUGAUUCAAAAAAAGGGGUAAGAAAGAAAAUAACAAUAAAGCUCACAUGGGGUAAGCAAAUGAUGACACAAUGUUUGGAUAUCAGAAUGGAAUUCUUUCAUCAUAUCAAUCCUUGAAAAUGUAAGUGGAUAUCAUGCAACAUGAAGUAAAAGAUGAAGAUCAUUCGUGACACUUUAACAACACUAACUUUAACUGAGCAUGUGUGCCACUUCUUCUUCUACACUUGUCAAAUAUACAACUCCACCUUUGUUGUACAUCCCUCACAUCGAAUGACCCAUGUUUUUGUAGAACCGAUUAUCUUCUUGUUUCUCUUGAUAUUACGUGUCCACUAUUUGACCUAUUUGAGAUAUGUUUUUCAAUUGAUGGCCAUGUUAAUCUUGUGAGUCUCAAAAUAAUUGCCUUAAUUUUAAAGAAGGCUUCAAUUUGAUCACCAAAUGCCUCAACACUCUGCCUAUUUUCUCAGAUGCUCUUUUUUUCUAACUUUAGCCCGCUAAUUCAAAGUUUCAUGAUUAAAACUGAAUUUUAAGAUCUGGCUAAAAAUUUCGCAAGCAUGUCCUAACACUAGAAUUCAACAUAAAAUGUAUUGUGUAAAGAAGACAAACAAACAAAUUAAAAUAAGACAAAACAAUCAAGGGUCACCACAUUUUAUUGAAAGGAAAGAUAGAAGGGUUUAAACAAAGGCGACAGAGAAACAAAACAAGAUAGAUUCUGAACUACAACCCUAAAAUAAUUUGGAAAACAGAAAGAAAAACAAAACAAACUACCAACAAUCCUUCUAAGUAAGGAGAGGAGUGACUUCUCAAUUGCUGAGCUUGACAUCUUAGCCACUGAUUUUCAUAUCAUCAUGACUAAAGCUUUCACCGCUAUCUGACACAUUCCGUGUAAAAUUAUCCUUUGACUUUCUCCUUUUUGGCAAACUCUGGCCUCGAUUGAAACUUGGACUUAGAAGUUCCUUGGUAAAUAUGUGGGGGUCGAGGACGAUGUUGAGGGACCUAUGCAUGCCCUUGUGGAUAAAACAAUGGAUGAGUAUAUGGUUGGGCGCUAUGUACUAGAUAUGGAGGUGGUGGAUUAGAAAAUAAUGGGUUUUAGGAGUGAUUAUAUAGAUCUUGGUUAUGGACUUGGGCUUGAUACUGAGGGUAACAACGACUUGGCCUUCUUGGACGUACCUAUUGUCCAACUAUAAUAGCAGCUACAUCUUCCCCAUUUUUCUUCCCUCCAACAUUUCCUGAACCUUUUUGAAUUGCUUGCGUAGUUGCUUUCAAUGUUUUGAAACUCAUAAUGCGAUCGAUUUAAAUUCUAUCCUCUAUCAAAUCCCCCAUUUUGAGGACCUCAAUAAAUGACUUACCUAAUGCAGGUAACGAGUGUUGAUAAUAUGUUUCAUCCUGCGCUUGAAUAAACACCUCCACCAUCUUGCUUUCUUUCAUUAGCGAUUUCAUCCUAGCAACUUGUUCACGCCAUCUAAUCACAUAUUCCCUGAAACUUUCAGUACUAUUGUUCUUUAUAUUAGUUAGGGAUUUCUCAUUAGGAAUCAAUUCACAUCAUAUUGGAAUUGUUGCAUGAAUUCAUUAGCUAGGUCAUCCCAACUAUUCUACUUAUCGAUGUCUUGGUCAACAAAUAAUUUUGAAGCUAGACUUCAAAAAUUCUCACCGAAAUAAGCCACGAGUAAUUCUUUCUUCCCUACAGCGCCCCUUAGAUGGUUACAAUAAUGCCUCAAAUGUGCCAUUGGGUCACCGUGUCCAUUGUAUUUCUCAAACUUUGGAGUUUUAAAACCAAGAGGGAGAUUAACAUUUGGAAACAUGCAUAGAUAUUUAUACGAUACACUCUUAUAAGCCUCGAGUCCCAGCAAAUAUCUUAUGGUAUGUUCCAAACUUUCCACCUUGUUGGUCAUUUCAUUUUGUUUUCUAUCAUAAUCGACUUUUCGGUGUUAAGAGAAAGUUCAAGCGGUUGAGUGUCGCCAUGAGGACUAGUCAACUUAGAUGUGGGCUCAAGAGCAUAAUACUAAUCAGUAGAAAUAUUCAAUAUAGGCUCUCUUGUAGAGUGGGGAGGUACAACCAAUGGAUGCACAUCAAAAGUAGGAGCUUUAGGUGGAGGUGGAGCCACAAAAAGAGAAAUUUCAGGUGGAGCCGAGUAUGUGAUAGUUUUGUAUUGAGGAACUUGGAGAGGAAUAUUGGAAGUGUUAGGAUAGCGUUGCCCCAAAGUAAAUCCUGAUGCAUGUUGAUGCGUAUUAACAAAAAUAGGGCAUUGUGCAUGUGACACUAGAGGCAAGCUAGAAAGAUAUUUCAGAUUAUCAGCGAAAAAUGAAGGAGGCGACAACCCAUUAGCCCAAGCUCGAUGCAUUUCGAUCAUUUGCUGUCUUAAUUUUUGGAUCUCUUCAUUAACUUCUAAAUUCUCAUUCCCCAAACUCCUUAUCUAAUUAGUGAAAACAACCUCGGAAUCCUUGUUGGCUAUAACUUUCUCUUCGACUUGGUGCAAUAUGGAGGACCAACCAAAAUGCCACAAACCAACCACCUGAAACUAACUGAACAAGAGAUAACAAAUGCUUUAGGGUUUAACAUUUCCUAAAAAUCUUUCUCUCCCUUUUUUUCUUUUGAAACGAUCAGUGAGCCCUAGAAGAGCGCCUACGUAUCUUACCCUCGAGAGAGGAGAAUCGGGUGCGUAGUUCAUGAACUUUGGUUACAAAAUGACCCAUCAACUCUCUUUAUUUUUAUUUUUCUUGAAACUUUAAGAAGAAAAGAAAAUAACAAAUUGUCAAGAGAAUUGCAAAAAUCUAUUUGGGUUUUUUGGCUUUAAAAUCCCUAUUCAAAAUGAAACCUAUGAUCACCAAAGAAAAAUCUUUUUGGGUUUUUGAUAUUGAAUUUCAUAUGAAAAUUAAACUUGAAACUAUUAAAGGAAAAUCUUUUUGUAGUUUUCUUUUAAAUAUGUGUAUAACACCUAUUCUAAAUGAAGAGUGAAGAAAUCUUUUUGAAUUUUUAAAAUAUGAUCACCGAAUCCUAGAAGGACUGCUUACGUAUCUCACUCCCGAGAGAGGAGAAUCAGGUGUGCGUAGUUUGUCCUGAUUGGACAAUCAAAGAUUGAACAACCGACUGAACCUUGACCUAAGAGACACGACCACAUAGAGACAAUAAAAUGCCAAUAAAAUCUUUUUGAGUUUUCACUUUGACACUUAACAUAAAAUAACGUCAACAACUAGGAAAGACAAAUCUUUUUGGUAUAUUCGUUAUACGAAAUGUACAAAACUUCUACUAUUUUUGAAUUUUUCUUUUAUAAAAAGCUCCUAUGAGGGAAAAAUCUUUUUGAAAAUUUUGAAUUAUGAAUGCUUACUAGAGAAAUAAAAGGAAAAUCUUUUUGAUAUUUUUAUUUUUGACAAAUGAAUUCACAUGGUAAAAAAUCUUUUUGAAUUUUUUUGGAUUGUGAAAAACAAAAGCCACAAAGAACUCUAAAAAGAAAAAUUACGAAACUCUUUUUUUUGACUCACUUUUCUUUCUUUCUUUUUUUCAACCUUUUCUUGCCUACACACUUUACUUCUAACACAUGUUUUCCCCAAAUCACUCCGUCAAAUAACCCCGUUACUCUCAAAGAUGCAACAAUUAACACGUAGGGAUGCUUUAGGGGUGAUUCUCUUACAAAGGACCAAAUGGAUCCCGCUAGCUCUCAACAUGAUAUAGAUAAGCAUGACUUAAAGGCUGACCUAGACUAGGGUCCACUAACAAGGCUGUUCGGGGGUGCAUACGGUUGAUAGUGGCUGCAAUUUUUUUCCAUCUAUUCCAUACAUCCAAUAGCUCCCCCUCCUAAAAUGAGGGUGACUCAACAUGACGUGUACUCCAAGACUUGCUGCGAAAGAAUGACUCAGAGUAAUGCACAUGAUGCCAGAUAUAAAGCGGUAACAUAUAAGAGAAAACUAUAAAUACGUAGCAAGUAGGCAUUCAACAAUGAUUAAAAAAAACACAAAUGAUAACACAAACAAGGCGUCUAUACACCCAUAGUGUCACACUAAGCCGAUACACCUCAAGAAUGGAGCUCGAAUUCUGAAAAAUCUCCAGCAAAGUCGCCAGAGCUGUCAUACCCCAUUUCACCAAAAAGAUUGAUUUUAAGUUCAAAAAGGGUUUGAUUAUUAAGUAACAAAAGAAAUCAAUUUGUUUCGAAAAGGACUUUCAACAAUCAAAAAUCAGAGUCGCCACUUGACAUAAAUCUGGUGUGCCAAGUCACCUUUGAAAAUCCUCUUUCAAAAUGAUUUUUGACUCUUUCAAUACUGAUCCAUGAACAGAGAUUUUGACUAAGAAAUUCUGUUGAUAGAGGGGAAGGUGUUAGGCACCCCUCAUUCCUGUGGUUCGACCACGGUCGCUUCAUAGAGUAUAUCGGCUAGUACUAUACUAUGGAAUAUAUAAACCAGCAAAAUACAUAAACAGUAAAACGAAAAACCAAAACAAUCAAAAAUCGAAAAAUAAUGUCUAGUUCAAUUUAUUACAAACCAAAAAUAAAAAUAUUGAAAUAGAAACCUUCUGGUUGCCCUAGCUAUGCUUUACCCAAUGCCUCGGACCUUGAUUACGAGCCUUUUUUACGUACAUGAUAUUUCAGGGCAUUCCUCAGUAAAUGAAUACAAUUUCAGUUCCGUGCGAUAAAGUAGAAACCACUCAACAAACAUCCAAAUAUUCAACAAUCCACAAUUCCUAAUUUUUGCCUACUCAUUUCGACUUAUCAUGAUACUAUCACAUUCAACGACAUCAAUAAAUCAAAAUUAAUUUGUAUUUACUUUUAUCAAGGUCAAUUUUCACCCCAAACAAUCGAUUUUAAUUCUCGAACGAGACAUUUUAUCACAUAAUUCAUAACCAAGGGAUUUAACAAGGGAAAAUUUCAGAAAUAACAACUAUAGAGUAUUAAUUGUAACUUUUAUAGCAACAAUUUCAUAAUUACAAAAAAUAGCAAAUUGUAUUUUGUAUUUAAGUAAACUGUUGCUAUACAAAUACAUAUACAACAAGAUUUACUGCCCUUGUUUUACUCAAAUUAGUCGAGUUAAAUAAGGAAUAAUUAUCCCAUCUAAUUAAAUUCCCAUAAAGUACUCUUGUUUAAAUUAGUAGAUUCCUUUUCCAAAUCAAAUUCAAAUAUGAAGAUUAUUAUUUUCUGAUCUUCAAAAUUUCAAAAUAUCAUUCUUUUAUAUUUCUAACUAUUUUUUCUUGUUAGUUUUUUCAUUUUUUAAUCUUUUUUUAUUUUAAUUUUUUUUCUUUCCACUUUAUUUUCUCUCUUCUAUUUUUUUUCCUUUUUGAUUUAUUUAUUUAUUUAUUUCUUUUUUCAUUUUCUUUGUUUUCUUCUUCUUCUUCUUCUUUUUUUCAAUUUUUUUUCUCUUUUAUUUUUACACUUCUAUUUUUAAUUUGUAUUUCUUUUUUUUUUUCUUUGUCACUUCUUUUUUUUUUUUUUCAAAUUUUUAUUUUUCGUUUUUGUUUUUUUCUAACUUUUUUUUUUUACUCUUCUAUCUCUAUCUUUUAUUUUUAAAAGACAAAUAUUUAUAUCAUAUAUACAUAUUCAAAAAAUAUAUAAAAUAAAUAGACAUAUAGAUCUGCAUAUGUAUUUACGGUAAAAAACAUACAUAUAUAUCUACAUAUGUAUUUACAAAAAUAUAUAUCUGACUCAUAUGUAUAUAUAAACAUAUAGGACACAAAAUCUUUAUAACAAAAAUGACAAUUAUAUACAUAUACAUAUAUGUAAUAAAAAAAUACAUGCUACAUGCCUUAAACAGUAAAAGAAAAUAAAUAAGUACAUAUGUUACCGUCUAAAAUGACAUAGUAUGUACAGUUCAAAGACAAAUUCAACAGCAUAUAAAAUACAUAUAGCUCUACAUAUAUAUAUUUACAGAAUACAUAUCUGAUCUAUAUGUAUAUUCUUAUUUUAUAUGAGUCACCUUUGUAUUUCGCAAGUACAUAUGAAGAUAUAUAGUAUAGUUAUGUUUGUUACUGUUUAAUAUGAAUACGAUUUGUAUUUCGUAAAUACAUAUGUAUGUUUUGUACUGUAAAUACAUAUUCAGAUAUUUAUGACUAUGUAUUUUGUAUAUUUUUUGAAUAUGUGUAUGUGAUAUACAUAUUUAUCUUUUCAAAAUAAAAGUUAGAGAUAGAAGAAUAAAAAAACAGAAAAAAAUAAAAAUAUAAAAAGAAAAAUGAAAAAAGAGAAGUGAAAAAGAAAAAAAAAAGAGGAAGAAAGAGAAAUAGAAGUGUAAAAAUAAAAGAAAAAAAGAAACAAAUAAAAUAGAAAAAAAGAAGAAGAAAAUGAAAAUAGAAAAAGAAAAAAAAAUAUGAGAAAGGAAAAAAAAAGAAAAAAGGGAAAAAAAGAGAAAUAGAAAAGAGAAAAUAAAGUGGAAAAGAAAAAAAAAUCAAAAUGAAAAAAUAAAAUGAUAAAAAAAUAAGAUGAAAAAAAACUAACAAGGAAAAAAAGAUAAGUAUAUAAGAGAGUGAAAGACAAAAUGUUGUUUUAUUUUAAAAUCUUGAAGAUCGUGGAGAUAAUUAUCUUUAAAUAAAAAAAAUAAAAAAAAAAAAUGAAAAAUAAAAAAUAACCAAAAAGAAAAAAAAAGAAGAGAAAUAGAAGAGAGAAAAAAUAAAGUGAAAAUAAAAUAAAGUGAAAUGAUAAUAAAAAUAAGAUGAAAAAAGAGGUAAAAGAUAUGACUAUAUUUGAGGGGGUGAAAUAGUUGAGUAAAAAUAGAAAAAUGUAAAGUAGUUAGAGUAAAACGUGCACUUGUUAAUAAGUAAAAUAAUAUUACUCUUGCUACAAACUGUAAUUUUACAAAAAUAUUACUAUUUAUUGUAAUUAUAAUCUUAAGUAUGUUACUUUCUGUAAUUUUUUCAUUUAAUAAUGAACCAAUACCAAGCGACUAUUCACCACCAACAUGGAUCAAUCAACACACAAUAUUCGAUCCAAUGCACCGAAUAUCAUCAAAUAAUGAAAUAAAAAACAGAGGAAAAGAGUAGAAUUGGAACUCAAUUUGAAGCUUUCAAAUUCAAAUAUUAUUUGAAUAAAAAGAUAAAACUCACAUUCCGAAGCCGCAAGUUGAAAUUAAACCUCAACCAACAAACCGGCUACUCGAACAAAUACCAAUAACCACAGCUCAACCCAUAACGCUGUCAAGUGGCACAUACACUGUUGCGAAUGCUUUUGGUCUCUGUUUUGGUGGGUUUCGAUGGAUUUUGCCGGAGCAGCAGCGUCUUGGGCCGCUAGACCUUUUGUCUGGUGGGUCUUUUCUGAAUCGGAGCUAGAUUUGUUAUUUCUAUUUUACCGGAGCUCCAUCGAGCUCAGGCGGUGGUGGGAAUCGAAGAGUGGGUCAAAUUUCCGGUGGCAGUGAUGUUUCCCGGUGAGAAUUCGCCAGAAAUUGCUUCUCUAUCGUUCCUCUCCUCUUUUCCCCUCUCUCUCGAUACCUCACUCUCAACUUUCUCCCCUCUCUCGAUCUCUCUCACUUAAUUUUCUUUCUCUUUCACCAUUUUUCUCUUCAUUUCAGUGUUUGUGCGUGCAUAUAUUAGUGUGUGUAUGUGAGUAUUCUCUCCAGCUCCCAAUUAUUGUUGUGUGUAUAUACUGUUCUCUUGUGGUGAAUAAGGGAAAAAAUAGAGUAUUUGCGUGUCUGUGUGUGAAUUCGGUGGAACGAUCUGUGUGUUUAUGUAUUAUUAAUUGUGAGGUGUGUGGAUGUGAAUGUGUUUAUACUUCUUUGAUGUAGCCAGAUGCUGCAACAAUAAAAUAAAAAAAAAUUAUUUAAAUUUGAUCCAUAUAAAAAUAGGAAUAUAUUAAAAUUCUAUCAUGCAAAAAUAGAAAAAUUUUAAAGUUCCAACGAAGAGAGAAAAUUAUUAGCCUUUGGGUCUAUUAUUAUUAUUAUUUUUUUUUUAAAAUAAACUUAAAGGCAC
rnacentral:lncRNA from 1 species